CGGGGCCUGCUUCCUCCCCAUGGGCCACAGCUCCCCCCUGCGCAGCUUCUGAGGUUGAAAUAAAGGCACUAUCUUUCAAUUAUGCUGCAAUGUUGAAGGAAAAAGAGGAGCAACUGGGAAAACUUCGUGAAGAAAAUGGGUCUCUUAAAAGAAGCUUGGAGAGCUGUAAGGCAGUUUCAGCCAAUUCUAAUGGCACUUUGGAAAGAUCACCUAGAGUGCAAAGGAAUGCAGUUCAAGAAAAUUCAUUAAAUCUCACCAAGCAGAAUGGAUAUGGUGGUGGUUCUUCUCACAGUACCCAGGCAAAUGGUCAGCAUCCAAUGGCAGGUUAUUAGAAGGGAAACUAGUGGUCAAGUUGGCCAUUUGGCUCGGUGGGACCUUCGCUCGUCCUGCAUGUUAUGGGACUCUCAAAAACUUGCACUUUCCAUUACUUGUACAGAGUCUAACGGAUGGCCUUACUACUGAUACAUGAUAACUGUUUAUAUCGCUAUCGGGGUUUCAAGACUACGGAUGGCUUCAUGCUCAUUGUAUUUUUAGGUUGUCAAGCCUGUCAAUUAGAUCCAAAGCAUUGUUCCUAUCAAUCUCGAAGUAAAUAACUGGAAGUAUGGAAGACCUCCUAACUAGGAGCAAGUCUUUCCUGUUUCCACUAGCUGGGUAGUGGUUGUUGCUCUUGCUCAACCUACUCUGUUUGUUGUAACUUGACUGUGUUGAACUCUUGACUUUUGCUUAUUUCUAGGACUCCUGUACUUAACAUCCCUUAUCAUAUCCUGAUUCUCUUGGGUGAGAAUUGGUGGUGAAUUAUUUGUUUUGCCCGGCAACAGAGUGAU